AAUGGGCGAAAGCCUGAUGCAGCGACGCCGCGUGAGGGAUGGAGGCCUUCGGGUUGUAAACCUCUUUCAGCAGGGAAGAAGCGAAAGUGACGGUACCUGCAGAAGAAGCACCGGCUAACUACGUGCCAGCAGCCGCGGUAAUACGUAGGGUGCAAGCGUUGUCCGGAAUUAUUGGGCGUAAAGAGCUCGUAGGCGGUUUGUCGCGUCUGCUGUGAAAACUCGGGGCUUAACUCCGGGCUUGCAGUGGGUACGGGCAGACUAGAGUGCGGUAGGGGAGACUGGAAUUCCUGGUGUAGCGGUGAAAUGCGCAGAUAUCAGGAGGAACACCGGUGGCGAAGGCGGGUCUCUGGGCCGUAACUGACGCUGAGGAGCGAAAGCGUGGGGAGCGAA
rnacentral:rRNA from 1 species